UCUACUUCCCAUUUCGUUGUGACGGUGGACAUUGGACAUGAAAGAUAAUAUGCGAAAUUAGAUUCCCGGCGUGAGCGAGGGAGCGCGAUAAAAGACGAACUGCGGGUAUGCGGAAUAAAGAGAAAAGAGACCGAAAAGGAGAAAAGGAGCGACAUACACGCGGAGAAGAUAUGAGAAAUUGGAAAAAAGACGAAAAAAGCGACGUUCGUAGGAAACGUCUUGAUACAAACAACAGCAUUCUCGAUUAAUCGAGCUCGAGCUAAAUUUCAACAAUUCCUUCUUAUCUUGUACUCGACGGUGAAAGAAAGAGUUGGUGAAUAUGGAGUCUCAAGGGCGAAUUCGGCGGCGCAGGUUUGAGAGCAAAAAGAGUAAUAAUAAGGGCGGGGCCGUGACGGAAAGUGGAAAGAGAAGCGGGAGAAGGACGGAGAAGCCGAGUCGAGGGACAAAGAGGAGGACGAGAUUGAGGAGCGAGGAACGAGGACGAGGACUUAAGGAUGCGCUGUACAAAUUGCGAGAGAAAGAGAACAAGGGUGGCGAACGGUAGACAUGUUUAAUGACAGAGAAUUGCAAGUAAUGGCGAGUAACGCGGCCUAUUUAACACCCCCGCCUUAUCCUAUCACACGAAAUAACCCUCUGUGUCCCCGUUAAUACUCUCUCUUAUCGUCUCGAGCUAGCGAGGCGACUCGCCGUGAAAUCAAAUCAAGCGAGCGAAUACGAUAAAUGCGAAUUACCAAAUGUAUUUGUAUUUGUAUUAUUCGAUAUAUACCCAUGCGUACGGGUUUCCCUUAAACAAAUAAAAAUGUUUUAAAUAAAAA